UUCCCCUAGUAACGGCGAGUGAAGAGGGAAAAGCUCAAAUUUAAAAUCUGGCGGUCUACGGCCGUCCGAGUUGUAAUCUAGAGAAGUGUUUUCCGCGCUGGACCGUGUACAAGUCCUUUGGAACAAGGCGUCAUAGAGGGUGAGAAUCCCGUCUACGACACGGACUGCCAAGCGCUUUGUGAUACACUCUCAACGAGUCGAGUUGUUUGGGAAUGCAGCUCAAAAUGGGUGGUAAAUUCCAUCUAAAGCUAAAUAUUGGCGAAAGACCGAUAGCGAACAAGUACCGUGAGGGAAAGAUGAAAAGCACUUUGGAAAGAGAGUUAAACAGUACGUGAAAUUGUUGAAAGGGAAACGCUUGAAGUCAGUCGCGUCUUCAGAAAUUCAGCUGGGCUUCUGCCUAGUGUACUUUUCUGUGGGACGGGCCAGCAUCAGUUUUGGCUGCCAGAAAAAGGUCGGAGGAAGGUGGCACCUCCGGGUGUGUUAUAGCCUCUGAUCGUAUGUGGCAGCCGGGAUUGAGGACCGCAGCACGCCUUUAUGGCCGGGGUUCGCCCACGUAACGUGCUUAGGAUGCUGGCGUAAUGGCUUUAAACGACCCGUCUUGAAACACGGACCAAGGAGUCUAACAUGCCUGCGAGUAUUUGGGUGGCAAACCCAUGUGCGGAAUGAAAGUGAACAGUUGGGACUUCUGUCAUGGAAGGCRCCGACGCCCGGACCAGACCUAUUGUGACGGAUCCUAGGUAGAGCAKGUAUGUUGGGACCCGAAAGAUGGUGAACUAUGCCUGAGUAGGGUGAAGCCAGAGGAAACUCUCGUGGAGGCUCGUAKCGAUUCUGACRUGCAAAUCGAUCGUCGAACUUGGGUAUAGGGGCGAAAGA
rnacentral:rRNA from 1 species